GAAGCAAAGUCUGCUACUGAUUGAUUCGAAAAGACUCAUUGCAUAAUUUCAACAAACCUUGAUGUAUUGACACAAAGAAAUGAAAGUUUCUUCCAACAAAUGAAAAAGUUGUUCCCAUGUGCUUCUCCUACUGAAGAAAACGGGUUAAUCGCAUUAAUACUGGAUCAGGAGAGUUGGAUUCCGGAAAACCCGAAACCAUCCUAAGUUACUGUCGGAUACGUAGUGCGAUGAGUUUAUAUCUGAAUUCGAUAUACAGCGAGCAUUUGGGUGCUUCACAAAGCAACGAACUGAAAGUAAGCAACGGUACUAUUAUUCCGUGAGUAGACCGUCGUAGUAUUACGUGUGGCAAUAAAAAUUGGGUUUCUACCAGCGAUACGUAAGCUUCUUUAAUCAUAUCUUUGGCACAAUGUUCAUUCCAAAGCAACGUUUUGAGAGGCAUGUUGUUACCCCACAGCAAGAAGGUACUACACAGAUUAUUAUCUCACAGUGGAAACGGAAGUUAACAUAAAACAAAGUUCUACCUUCCCGUCGGAAGCAUCUAUAUGAACGCUUGAAUGUAUGAAAAACUACGUCUAUAUGAUCUGAUGACGUUAGAAUGACACAAUUCUAAAUCUUCCUGCUCUAUUAGCGGCCUUCAAUGGACGUGAUUUCGUCGCCGAACACCAGAAAACGGUCGUCAAUCAUUUGAUCGUGAUUGUAAACAGAAAAGACCUUGGGAAGGACAUUUGUGACGAAUACAUCUCUGUACUCGCCUAGAAUAAAAUUGAAUCAAAGAUGAAUGACGAUGUAACUGGGGGAUCCCUCUAAACGGAACUCCAAGUUGUUUCUCCAGGCAAAAACACCUUUAAUCCUGACGCGAAAAAAUGGUGGUAUCGAUGCUUUCUAAUAAUCAUCUUUAGCACGAGCCGUACAAAAACGUCUCGCAGCGAUAGUCAACACAUGCGCGUACGAGUAGAUUCAGAUCACGCCAACCUUUCAAUAUCAUGGGUCACAAUUUGCAGCUUUUUGUACAAGCGUGUGCGGAUUAUUUCCUCGUCCUUAAGUAACAGGAAACCAAAACCACAUAUUCUGUUCCUCAAAUCGGCCCUGUAAUCGAUGGUGUCGGCAGACGAAUCGAAAACUCAAAUGGCACUCCAUGGACUUUCAAAACAUUACACAAAAUAAUAUGACGUUUAUCGGAAGGGUCAAAGGUCGGUGAUGGGCAGCAUAUGCCCUGCAAAAAAUAAAAUUGCAUUCACUCCCUGAAAUAAUGCUAGUGAGUCAAUAAAAUUGCUUUUGCUU